rnacentral:tRNA from 1 species
GAUAAGAUGCCUGAUUAAAGGAUUAUUAUGAUAUAAUAAAUAAUGUAAUUAAUAAUUACUCUUAUUG